ACGCUCGACACCUACGGGAGGCAGCAGUGGGGAAUAUUGCACAAUGGGGGAAACCCUGAUGCAGCAACGCCGCGUGAAGGAAGACGGUUUUCGGAUUGUAAACUUCUGUUCUUAGUGAAGAUAGUGACGGUAGCUAAGGAGCAAGCCACGGCUAACUACGUGCCGGCAGCCGCGGUAAUCUGAGCGGGCUGGCAAGGC
rnacentral:rRNA from 1 species